GACGAACGCUGGCGGCGUGCCUAAUACAUGCAAGUCGAGCGGAAGUUGAAGAGCUUGCUCUUCAACUUUAGCGGCGGACGGGUGAGUAACACGUGGGCAACCUGCCCUGCAGAUCGGGAUAACUCCGGGAAACCGGUGCUAAUACCGAAUAGUUUUGGGUCCCCCCUGGGACCUAACGGAAAGACGGUUUCGGCUGUCACUGCAGGAUGGGCCCGCGGCGCAUUAGCUAGUUGGUGGGGUAACGGCCCACCAAGGCGACGAUGCGUAGCCGCCCUGAGAGGGGGAUCGGCCACACUGGGACUGAGACACGGCCCAGACUCCUACGGGAGGCAGCAGUAGGGAAUCUUCCGCAAUGGACGCAAGUCUGACGGAGCAACGCCGCGUGAGUGAUGAAGGUUUUCGGAUCGUAAAACUCUGUUGCGAGGGAAGAAACCGUGCCAAUUAACUACUGGCACCUUGACGGUACCUCGCCAGAAAGCCACGGCUAACUACGUGCCAGCCGCCGCUGUAA
rnacentral:rRNA from 1 species